AGAUUGCGCGCCCUUUUUUCCCCGACUGCCUGUGUUUGUCCUAGGAAGUCAACUGUCUUACCGGUGUAUUUUUUCCCCCUUUUCAAAGAUAUCGUCUUUUCUUUCCCUUUGUGUGCGCUGAGGUUUUCUGUUUGUCUUGGGUUUCUGUUACUUGGCUGCAGUUCGCCCAGGCAUGACUUUCCGCUGCAUCUACCCUUCCUGGGUGCCUAUCUUUUGAGUCUGUGGCUUCAUGUUAUUUUCCAGGUUUGGAAAAUCUUUAGCCGUAUCUCUUCAAACACUGCUUCUGACUCAUUCUCCUCCCACCCCCUUUCUGGGACGCCCACUGCGUUCGUUUGGUACCUUUCCAUCCCAUCCCGUGUGCCUGUCCUGUUGGCUUCUCUACUGCCCACCCUGUUUUCUCUCUGGUCUUCAUUCUUGGCUGUUUUCCGUUGUUUCUCUGCAUACUCUCACUCUUCAGCUGUGUCUACUCUUCCAUCAAAGCCCUCGACUGAGUUCUUAGUUUCAGUUAGUUUAUAUUCUAGAACUUCCACUUUUAAAUAUAUAUUCCGGUUCUCUUUCCUUGAACAUAAUCCAUUACAAUUAUUUGGAAGUCUGUGUCUGAUCGUUCUCAUAUCUGGGUCAGCACGGAUCUGCUUUGAUUGUGACUGUUUUGUCUCGGUUGACUCUUGGGAGGAGGAGGCCCGUGGAAUUGUGCGCAGGCACGUCUGGAUGAAGUCUGCAGAAGCUGCGUGUGACGCUGCCUCCUCCAGGAGGAAGGUGCCCCGCCCCGGGCAGGCAGCACAGGAGUGGAUUGCUGCGUGCAAUCAGGGACCGGGCUCCCGCUGGUUCUUCCCGUUCCUGGGACGCCUCCCCCUGGGGUUCUCAGGUGAACGCGUGAGGUGCUGCUGGGAGCCUCCCCAGCUCGGUGGGCUUGGCAUCAUCUUCCCACCACCCCGUGAGAGUCAACGGCUCUGGUCUGUUCUUAAGCCCCAUUCUAUGAGCUUCUCACCUAGGCAACUUAACCAGCAGCUGCCUCUGGGGGAGACAGUUGAAGGGGGCAGGGAGGGGGGUUGCUCGCUCCUCUGCCCCUAG
rnacentral:lncRNA from 1 species